rnacentral:rRNA from 1 species
GAUGAACGCUGGCGGCGUGCCUAAUACAUGCCAGUCGAGCGAACAGAUAAGGAGCUUGCUCCUUUGACGUUAGCGGCGGACGGGUGAGUAACACGUGGGUAACCUACCUAUAAGACUGGGAUAACUUCGGGAAACCGGAGCUAAUACCGGAUAAUAUUUCGAACCGCAUGGUUCGAUAGUGAAAGAUGGUUUUGCUAUCACUUAUAGAUGGACCCGCGCCGUAUUAGCUAGUUGGUAAGGUAACGGCUUACCAAGGCGACGAUACGUAGCCGACCUGAGAGGGUGAUCGGCCACACUGGAACUGAGACACGGUCCAGACUCCUACGGGAGGCAGCAGUAGGGAAUCUUCCGCAAUGGGCGAAAGCCUGACGGAGCAACGCCGCGUGAGUGAUGAAGGUCUUCGGAUCGUAAAACUCUGUUAUUAGGGAAGAACAUACGUGUAAGUAACUGUGCACGUCUUGACGGUACCUAAUCAGAAAGCCACGGCUAACUACGUG